GGCCCAGCGCCACAUGUCACAGCACGUCCUGUCUGACUUAUUGACAAAUAAACUCACAUGUCCCACUUUGAGCAGAGUGGGUUUCCAGUUUAAGUGGGACAACAGUGGAGUUGAGUGACUUUUCCAAGGAAAAAAACAAUCAAGUCAACAGAUCGACUGAAAUUUUAAUGCGGGGUCCUUCCUGAACAAAUAUGUGAGCUGUGAAAGCCGGACGUGUAAAGGAGGAUGUAGGGCACAGGGCUGAGACGGGCUCACAGGGGUCACCACAGUGAAUGAGGUUCCUCCAUCUGACCCUGCCUUCAGCGUCCUCUACUCUAACACCAACUACCUUCAUGUCAUGAAAAUGUUACAUAAAUCUAAGACACAACAAUAAAAUCAAAGGAUCUGUUUUAGCAAUGGGUCCAAACUGAACCACCUCUUUCUUUGUAGAGUGAAGAUGUGAAUUGAUUUUUCAUUUUUUAAGCUUAUGUUGUAGGAAGACACUGUACAGGGGCGUAGUGGUUUGCGCUCUCUACUCACAGAUUGAUUGAUGACACUAAAUUGCCCCUAGAUGUGUGUGAGUUUGAGUGUGGGGCCUUACAGCAGAGGGUGUCCUUUUCCCAAAAGUUGAUGGGUUAGAUCCAGCGACCCUGUGACCCCAAAAGGGAUCAACCAGGUUCUGAAAAUGAAUGGAUGAAUGUUGUUGGAAGGCUAACUGCUACCCCUCAAUUUAGCAAGUGGAUAUCAGCUGUGAUCUGGCUAGUGCAGCUUUCCCACUAACCAAUCCCUCAGCAGCUGUUUGGUUCCUGCUCCUCAUGCCUCUUUCUCUCUCUGCUGUGUCUUCCUUACUCUUUGCGCUCACUGCUCUGUCACAGCUUGGAAUUUUCCAGUCUGCAGCAGGAGACCAUUGCAGCCAGCUGGGCUGUCAAUUGUAAUUUAUGCUCAACUCUCACACUGUUUGCACACACUCCUAUUCUCCCAGCCAGCUUUUUUUGGUGUGUGUUUUUGCACAGCGAUAGACUCAUGUGGACUAGCAAGACACCUCACAGUGCGCUUAGCAUGUUUAGCUCUGUGCACCCUGCAGCAGAUCCCAUCAUCCUGAAGGCACUGUGUACAUUAAAGCUCUGCUAAAACAACCAAAGGAAGCUUGGUGCACAGGGUUGGUUAUUUGGGCAGUCCAGCAGAAGUGCGGAUCCACACUGUGGGCCUCAGCAACCUUCUACACUUUCACUGCUUUUCCACAUAGACUCUCAUCUCAUGCAGUCUUUGGAAUUUGCUCCAAAAGAAACAAACUUGUCUUUUAUGUCUGUCUUUCUUUCGUUCCCUGUUUUGUUUCAUUUAAUCUCACAGCUGAAAUCCUCCGAGGGCACACAUGUACAUGUAACAUGUGAUCUGUACACAUCCGAGGUUUGUAACUGUUAGCGACACAUUUCCCAGCUUCAGCUCAGAGUAUGUUAGGCCUGCAGAAGUAUUUUAGAUUUAUCUAUUAAAAGUGAUCUUCACUCCAGAUGCAAUAUGGAUUUAUAAAAGCCCUUAAUCUGUUUUCCUUUCAAUAUUUUUUCUACUGAAUAAAUCAUUAUAACUAUGUGAA